rnacentral:lncRNA from 1 species
AAAUCAUAAAUGACUGAACCAGAAGAACUGAAGCUGAUGUCAGAUUUCUCGCUUGGGUGAUGAGGAACAAGGCAGGAAGAGCAGCAAUGAGGAUAGAGGUGGAAGGGCAGCUCAGGAAUUUCCCUGGAGUUUUCCCAUCUUGAGACUUCGGUCUUGGAAGACAGAAUGGCUGUGACAUAAUGUGGACUUUUUACUUCCACCUCUAGGAAAGCGUUCUUUGGAACACCUUUGCUGAGUCUCUCUCUCCUCCGCUCAAGGAGGAAGAAGGCAUUUUCACACAAGGCUGGCCAGAUGGGAAGAAUCUUCAGCUUCAGCUUCAGCUUGGCCUCAUUCAUUUGAAAAUAAAAUGUUUACAUGAGGCCGCGCCUGUGUCCAGCUGAAAGUGGGUCCUUCAGAGCGUGUGGGGGAUUCUCUGCCGGCUUGAUGGGCUAGCUCCUCUAAGCCGGCUGCUGGAGACAUCACCGGCUGAGGGACUCCUGCAAACGUUCAUACAUGAUUUGAUCCUGAAAGGAGGGAGAACACAGAAUACAGAGACCGUCACUGCUUGUUUUGGGCUGAAUGGUGCCCCCCAAAAUUCACAUGCUGCAGUCCGCACCCGCAGGACCUCAGAAUGUGAUUGUAACUGGAGAGAGGGUCUUUAUAGAGGAGACUGGAUUAAAAUGAGGUCAUACAGGUAGACUCUUAUCCAAUAUGACUGCUCUCCUUACAAAAAGAGGGGAUUAGGGCACAGGAGGGAAGAGCAUGUGCGCAGAGGGAAAAGCACAUGCAGGCGCUGGGAGAAGACAGCCAUCAGUGAGGACAAAGGCUCCAGAAGAACCAAUCCUGCCCAACACUCUCCAGAACUCUAUGUCCUGAAGACAGACAAAACUAUAGCCCAGCCAGAGGACUCUCCUGAACUCCCAACCACAGACCCAACAUCCUGCUCAACUUUUCCACUUGAUAGUGCCCAGGCACCUGAAACUCAGAGAGCUCAUCUCCCAGACCUCUAAUCCUGGUAGAUGCCACCAGCUGCACAAGCUGCAAAUUCAUCUACCUUUUCCUUUAACUCCCAACUCUACAGUUAAUCCAAUGUCCUACUAAUUAAAACCUUUAAAC